rnacentral:lncRNA from 1 species
GAUUAAAAUGCUGCUAAAUUAAUCAAAAUAAAGCGCUAAUGAUUAUGGAGCCUGAUAGUCAUCGUUGUCAUAAUAAAAAUAAGGCCUGUUCGUAACAUGUGAACUUGUGGUCAUCCCUAUCUGAAACAAUAUAAUUAUAUUACAAUCUAAUCGAAGUUUAAUAAAAAAAAUACAUAAAAUAAAAUUAACGCUAGUAUGUGUUAUAAUUAUAUAAUUUUAUUAAAUAAAGUUUAAACAUACAACAAAUUAGUUAUACUAAAAAUAAAAUAAAAAUUAUUCUUCAAAUAGCAUAUAAAAUAUUAGAAUUUAGAUCCAUAAUAUAUGAAAUCAUCUUUUAUAGUGUCAUUUUUAUAUAAUUAGAUAGCAUAAUAUUAUAAAAAUUAUGAAAUUAAUGUUAAAUUUAUUAUAUGGAUGUCAUUUUCUGCUGUUUUUUAUAGUUUUGCGAAAUUUUUAAUUAGGUCUUUGUACUUUUUUUUUUCAAUUGAGUCAUUGCACCAAGUUUUUUUAGGGCAAUUUACGUUAUUAAAUUGUUUCACCCUCAAUAUUAUGCAAAUGCGUUGUUUCCAAAUCCAAUACGCAAAUACAUUGAUUCACAUAUCUAUAUAAACCGCUACUGACAGUAGCGAUUUACAGGUGUGCAUAAACCGCUACAACCAGCCGCAGUUUACGUGUUAAAAGGGUAAUACAUAAACUGCUACAAGUAGCAGCGGUUUACGUGUGUGCGUGUAUGAGGGUAAACCGCUAUAGGCUAUAGCAGUUUACGUGUAGUGUGCUGUCUAUAUAAACCGUGGUGGUAGCCGCGGAUUAUUCAUUUAGAGGGGUUGUGAAGUUUUUUAUAGAGAGGAAAUUCUAGAGAGAGGUCAGAGUAAGUUGAGAGCGGGUCCGAGGUAUCUCAGCGGCGACUUCCGGCAAGUUAUCAUGGCAGACAGGACCUUGUACCGACUGAACGGUGUUGCGCAUAUUGCCGGUUCUACUAGUGACGAGGUUAGUUAAUAAUUAUUUUUUUCUAGGCUUUGCAUAUGUUAGUCAGAAAAAUGGUAUGUAAGGUAGACGAACUAGAAUUUAUAGAUUAUUCCCUCUAGUUUGAAAUUAGGCUUCGCAUGCUAGGAUGUUAGUUUAAUGGGUUUGGUUUAGUAUUUUGAGUUUUUCUUGUUAAGUUAUAAAUAUGACUACUUAGCUGAAUUUCAAAUCCCUUCAAUGAAUGUUAUUCUACAUGGUGUUGGUUUAGUUUAGGGAAAGGGACAGUUGACGUUAGUGAAUUAUUUUAGUUUGGUUAGUGUAUUUGUAUGAUAUGAAGUUUUUUAAUUUUAAAGCUUUAUAAUAUUUUUAUAUUUCUGACUGUUAUUUAUUCAAGUAUGUGUGUUGUUAUUUUUACUAUCGUGAUUAGGGAAAUUUUUUUUUAGGAGAAUUUGUUGAUGGUUCAUCAUUUGUUGAUGGUUUAAGAUAUUUGUAUCCAGUUAGAUAGGGGAAUUUUUUUUAUGGAUAGGAGAAUUUAAUUAGACUUUGUAUUUCUUUGCUGUUCUGUGCAGCCCACUAGGUGUAUAUACAGUGUGAGACGGCAACAGAAUAUGCCCAUGCAUGAAAGGAUCAUCCCGUAUUUAGAGAGGAUUGGAUUGUACCAUUUGGCCAGGCUAAACAGCCAAUGGUUCUGGUUGGAUGAGCCAUUGGUUAGUGCGUUCGUUGAGAGGUGGCGUCCUGAGACGCACACGUUCCAUAUGCCUUUCGGAGAGUGCGCAGUGACAUUACAAGACGUGGCAUUUCAGCUAGGGCUGCCUGUGGAUGGGGAGGCUGUGAGUGGUUGCCUUGGUGAGUUUGAGAAAUACAUGGAGGGUGGCCGACCAGCUUGGGAGUGGUUUGAGGACCUAUUCGGUGAGCGGCCUCCACCGAAUAAGGUCAAGCAGAUGAUAGUACACUUUACAUGGUUCCACGAGAGGUUUAGGGUGCUACCACCAGAUGCGAGCGAGGACACUGUCCGCAUCUACGCACGAGCCUACAUCAUGAUGCUGUUAUCGACUCAGUUAUUUGGGGACAAGAGUGCGAACCAGGUACAUAUACGGUGGUUGCCAUUUGUGGCAAACCUUGAUGACAUGGGGAGGUAUAGUUGGGGGUCGGCCGCUUUGGCAUGGUUGUACCGAUGCAUGUGUCGGGUAGCGAACAGAAAUGUGACUAACCUUGCGGGUCCGCUCCAGUUGCUACAGAGUUGGAUAUUCUGGCGGUUUUCGUCUUUGAGGCCGUCCGGGCUUGAGGUUUUCUCUUUCCCGCUGGCAUCCAGGUAUGGAUUAUGUUUUUUUAAUGCUUAAAAAUUUCAUGGGCGGUUUUUUAAGUUUGUGUCUCAUAUGACUUAAAUUUAGGUGGUCUGCCUACUUACCUCCUAACGAUGGCAAGGAACAGAGGGUCAUAAGGUAUUGGCUUGCAUUGGAUCGAUUGACCGCUUGUGAUGUAAGUUUUAUACCAGUUAGAGUUUCAUUUUUGGUUUGCUCUCUAGUCGUGACUAGAUAUAUACUUGUUGUGGUAAUGUCUGAUGAGUUCUGAAUUUUCAAAUUGUAUGGGAGCCCUACUCCGCGCUUGAUGUACUUGCUGUGGUCCAUCCAGAGAUAUUUACAGAGGAGCAUAGUCGCAUAUGGCGAGCGGUGACUACUUUGAUAUACUUUGCGGUCAUCGAGUGGCAUCAGGUUGACAGGGUUGUUCCACAGUUGGGUGGAGUACAGCAUAUCCCAGAGGAUGCUUUGAACGUAGACUGGCUGCAUGCUAAGGACGAGAGGGGAGGGGAUAGGUGGUUCCCCCAUUACUAUCAGGUCUGGCAUUUACACUGGGGGAACAGACUUGAUGUAGUCAUUUCCAUUGAGCGAGUGGCAGAUCCCGACCCCUCUGCUGAUUACUUAGAUUGGUGGUACCGCGAGGCUCAGCGGUUCCUUAGCCCAGGGGCAGCAUUCGCGGAUCCCAGAGGCACCCAGAUACCUCCAGAGGCAUUUCAGAGAGGAUCGUCUCAGGUCCCACGCAGAUCACAACUACCUGAAGAGAGGUGGGGAGGGUACUCUUGUGUUCCAGAACCGGAACCUCCAUGGGUUGAACGUGUACUUCUUGGAAUAUCAUCAUCACUGUCCCCACCAAUAUUGACAGGCUCCUCAUCCGAAUCAUCGUCACACAGUGCAUUCUUAACUCGAUCCGGUCCGGCAUCACAUUCGAAAUCAGGCACAACAGAAGCAACAUAUGCAUGAACAGCCCCAGCAUGUUCGGGCUCAGGAAUCAGAACUGCCGCUGCUACCACAGGCAUCGAUGUCGAUGCACCACCGACUGUGGUCGACUGAGGAUUCGGUGCCGAUGCCCCAGAGCUAUCCACACCAUCUUCCAACUUCGCAAGCAGCUCAGGUAUCCUCACCUCCGGAAAACUACGCCUGCAGUGAAACAAGACCUGCAGGUCUUCAUCCGACCCGAUCACGAAGGUCUCAUAUCUCACACCAGUUGACACAACGGCAAUGAGAAUCUUGUAAAAUAACUUUUUUACCCACUUCGUCCCACAGGUACCGAACUUCCGUAAUAUGCUUAGCUUAAUCUCUGCCAACGUAUUCGACGAUCGGAUAAAAAUACUAAGCGGUUCUCUAUCUGUGAAUUUUACACCAUGCCUUUUACUCUUUUGAAUUUUUCCAGAGCAGUGAACCAGAGCCACAAAACUAUCCUCCCCCUCCAUUUGUGAAUAACACUCUACCUCUCCACAUUUGGCCCCUCCAUGGUUUAUAUAGGCAGCCCCAUUCAGCCAACUGCACAUAAACCGCUAUAGCCUAUAGCGGUUUACCCUCACACACGCACACACGUAAACCGCUGUUACUUGUAGCGGUUUAUGUAUUACCCUUUUAACACGUAAACCGCGGCUGGUUGUAGCGGUUUAUAUAGAUAUGUGAAUCAAUGCAUUUGCGUAUUGGAUUUGGAAACAAUGCAUUUGCAUAAUAUUGAAACUGAAACAAUUUACUAACGUAAAUUGCCCUUUUUUUUAAUUGGGUUAUGAUACUUUUUUUUCUUUUUAUUUGAGUCUCUGCACCAAAUUUUUUUUUAGUUUGAUCCUUAUAAAAUUAAGUCAAUUACUGCUAAGAAGAAUCCAAUUAAAAAAAAAAUUAGUGCAGGAAGUCAAUUAAAAAAAAUAUAUAAAAAAACCUAAUUAAAAAUUUCGCAAACUUAUAAGUACUAACAGAGUAAUUAAACCUAUCGACAAUGAUAAAUUUAUAAAGAACGAAUAUCUUAGGUGUCAUAAAUUCAUUAUAGCAUCAUUUUAAUCUACUAUUUCGUACCAAUUCAAUCACUUUUUUAAUUUGGAAGGGCUCAAAAUCAUUUUUUCAUUUAUUAGAAAAUUCGUUUAAUUUCACCACCUUAAUACCCCAAAAAAGAAUAAAAAAAUCCAUGAUGAAAUCAAUUAGAAAUACCUAAACCCUUCAAAAGUAUUUCACAGAACAUACCUCUCCAUCAAUACCACAUAAAAAAGUGAAAAAUUUAUCACGUCAGAGUUUUAUUUAAACUUAAUUAAAAAUAUAGAGAAAAUUUAAAAAAUAUUCGUAAUAACUAAUAACUUAUACUACCUUGAGCAAUAUCCAAUGCAUUGUAAUAACAAUAGUAAAUGACCUGAAAAAGCUCUGCGACAUCUGCCUAUACAUAAUGACAAUUCAUGCGAAGUCGCAAAUCGAUCACAAAUAGUGUCAUCACAUUCAGCGAAGGCAAAACAGACAAUUUCUCCAAUAAUCGAUAUUAUUGCUACUAC